GGGGGGUCAUUGGUCAUUGAUUGGUCAUUGAUUGGUCAUUGGGUCAUUGGUCAUUGAUUGGUCAUUGAUUGGUCAUUGGGUCAUUGGUCAUUGAUUGGUCAUUGAUUGGUCAUUGAUUGGUCAUUGAUUGGUCAUUGGGUCAUUGGUCAUUGAUUGGUCAUUGAUUGGUCAUUGAUUGGUCAUUGGUCAGUCAUUAAUUGGGUCAUUGAUUGGUCAGUGAUUGGGUCAUUGAUUGGGUCAUUAAUUGGGUCAUUGAUUGGUCAGUGAUUGGGUCAUUGAUUGGGUCAUUGAUUGGGUCAAUGAUUGGGUAUUGAUUGGUCAUUGGGUCAUUGGGUCCCUGGUUGUUCCCGGGCGCAUUUCCCGCCAUGUCCUGGUGUCCCCAUGUCACCAUGUCCCGGCAUUUCAGUGUCCCCAUACCCUGAUGUCCCCAUACCCCGAUAUCCCGGUGUUUUGGUGUCCCCAAUCCCGUUAUCCCACUGUCCCCAAUCCUGUUAUUCCAUUGUCCCCAAUCCCAUUAUUCCGUUAUUACACUGUCCCCACUGUCCCCAACCCCGUUAUUUCCGUGUCCCCAAUCCCGUUAUCCCGUUAUUCCAUUGUCCCCAAUCCCGUUAUUCCAUUGUCCCUACCCCCGUUAUUUCCCUGUCCCCACCGCCGUUGUUCCGAGUCCCUGACGCCGUGUCCCCCGGGUGUCAGUGACGGCGAGGAGAAGGCGUCGGGCAGCUCGGGGGGCUCGGUGUGCGCGGCGGGCGCGGCGCUGGGCAGCGAUGACAGCCUGGCCGGUUACGGCGGCAGCGCCGAUGUCCAGUUCAACGAGGACGGCUCCUUCAUCGGCCAGUACAGCGGCACCCGC
ensembl:lncRNA